GAAGCUCGUCUGGAGGUUUGUCAGAGUGUCCAAAGAAGGGCCAGAAGUAUACAGAAUGGUGUCGUCUGAGUAGAGGUGGAUCAGAGAAUCACCAGCAGCAAGAGCAACAUCAUAUAUAUAUAUACAGAGAAAAGAGUCAGCCUGAGAAUUGAACCCUGUGGCACCCCCAUAGAGACGGCCAGAGGUCCGAUUUGACACACUGGACUCUGGUGAAACAGGCGAGGCAGCCAUUUGAGAAACCAAGGCUGUUGAGUCUGCCAAUAAGAAUGGCCUUGGCCAGGUCGAUGAGCACGGCUGCACAGUAUUAUCUUUUAUCGAUGGUGGUUAUGAUAUCGUUUAGGACCUUGAGCGUGGCUGAGGUGCACCCAUGACCAGCUCAGAAACCAGAUUGCAUACCGGAGAAGGUACGGUGGGAUUUGAAAUGGUCGGUGAUCUGUUUGUAGUCCCACUCAAUGUGGUAAAAAGCUUUUUCCGCAUCAAGCGAGACCACCACCUCCGGAUCCCCCAACGCUGGAGAGUACAGUAUAUGCAUAAGGCGUCUAAUAUUGAAAACGAAUGCCUAUUUCUCAUAAAGCCAGUUUGGUCAGAGUGUAUUACUUGGUGCAGCGAGCCUUCCAUUCGGAUGGCUAAGAGGUUGGCUAGGAUUUUGUAAUCACAGUUUAAAAGCGAGAUUGGGUGAUAAGAUCCACAUCCAAGGGGUCCUUGUUUUUCUUUAAUAGUAAUGAAAUUGAAGCCUGAUAAAGACUAGGCGGUAGCUUUGAUGUAUUAAGGCGCUCUGCAAAUAAUCGAGACAGGAAUGGGCAAACCAAAUUUGUUUGGAAAACCGUCCGGACCCGGUGAUUCACCACUUUCAUUGUGGACACUGCAGUUGCAAUUUCCUCAGGUGUAAAUUGUUCUUCUUAACCGUCAUGGGAGUCUGUAUCAAUUGAAGGCAUAUUCAGACCAUCGAAUAACGAAUCAAUCAACAAAGGGGCUUGAGGAGAUUCAGAGGUGUACAGCACAGAGUAAAAUUGUUUGAAUUGAUCAUUCAUCUCUUUAUGUAUAACUGUGGUAGCACCAGACAGGGUCUUUAAUUGUGGGAUUAAACAUGAGGCCUCAGAUUUACGGAUCUGAUGUGCAAGGAGUUUACUGGCCUUGUCGCCUUGCUCCUACACUCUGUAUCAAGCUUGUAAUUGUUCAGCUUGUCUGGUAGAGAGCUCUUCAAAUUCAGAUUGGAGUAGCUGGCGUUCUGAAAGAGAUUAGAGGAAGGAUGUGUAGCAUAUUUCUCAUCCAAUGUAGCUAUGGCUUCGCUCAGGUCUCGAAGCCGCUGAGAGCGAGCUUUGUUUUGUAGGCUGUAUAAGAAAUAACUUGGCCACGUAGGUAUGCUUUCAGGGACUCCCAUAUGGAAGAGCAGGACAUACCUGGGGACACGUUUAUUGUAUUGAUUCUGUUUACGGUGGUUUAUGGUUAUUAAACUCGACCGUUGUAAAUCAGUUUCCGCUCUCCUGCGCCUGACUUCUCUGCCGCCAGUAGCAUCACAUUACAUUAGGUUGUAAAUUAAAUAUUGUCUACUUGAGGAAUUUGACGUUCCAGUAUUCAGACAAAGCCUACAAACGUCAAUGGACGUGAACUGUCAGUUCUACCAUUAAACUGCGCUUUGGAAUCCAUCACAGUCAGAAAAGGCUCCCACUCGGCAAAAACUGGCUGAACCAACGUUGUUUCCCCAUCAUUUCAACAAACAAAUCCAACGUGAUGAUGUUGAAUCAACGUGGAAAACUGAUUGGAUUUGCAAAAAGUCAUCAAUGACCUGAGCCCUAGGACCAUGCCCCAGGACUACUGCUGCUGCUCCAGUUUCAACUGUUCUGCCUGCGGCUAUGGACCCCUGACCUGUUCACCGGACGUGCUACCUGUCCCAGAACUGCUGUUUUCAACUCUCAAGAGACAGCAGGAGCGGUAGACAUACUCUCAAUGAUCGGCUAUGAAAAGCCAACUGACAUUUACUCCUGAGGUGCUGAC